UACUGCCGUCGAGCGGGCAGAUGGGAGCUUGCUCCCUGAUGUUAGCGGCGGACGGGUGAGUAACACGUGGGUAACCUGCCUGUAAGACUGGGAUAACUCCGGGAAACCGGGGCUAAUACCGGAUGGUUGUUUGAACCGCAUGGUUCAAACAUAAAAGGUGGCUUCGGCUACCACUUACAGAUGGACCCGCGGCGCAUUAGCUAGUUGGUGAGGUAACGGCUCACCAAGGCGACGAUGCGUAGCCGACCUGAGAGGGUGAUCGGCCACACUGGGACUGAGACACGGCCCAGACUCCUACGGGAGGCAGCAGUAGGGAAUCUUCCGCAAUGGACGAAAGUCUGACGGAGCAACGCCGCGUGAGUGAUGAAGGUUUUCGGAUCGUAAAGCUCUGUUGUUAGGGAAGAACAAGUACCGUUCGAAUAGGGCGGUACCUUGACGGUACCUAACCAGAAAGCCACGGCUAACUACGUGCCAGCAGCCGCGGUAAUACGUAGGUGGCAAGCGUUGUCCGGAAUUAUUGGGCGUAAAGGGCUCGCAGGCGGUUUCUUAAGUCUGAUGUGAAAGCCCCCGGCUCAACCGGGGAGGGUCAUUGGAAACUGGGGAACUUGAGUGCAGAAGAGGAGAGUGGAAUUCCACGUGUAGCGGUGAAAUGCGUAGAGAUGUGGAGGAACACCAGUGGCGAAGGCGACUCUCUGGUCUGUAACUGACGCUGAGGAGCGAAAGCGUGGGGAGCGAACAGGAUUAGAUACCCUGGUAGUCCACGCCGUAAACGAUGAGUGCUAAGUGUUAGGGGGUUUCCGCCCCUUAGUGCUGCAGCUAACGCAUUAAGCACUCCGCCUGGGGAGUACGGUCCAAGACUGAAC
rnacentral:rRNA from 1 species